rnacentral:rRNA from 1 species
AUACGUAGGGGGCGAGCGUUGUCCGGAAUGAUUGGGCGUAAAGGGCGCGUAGGCGGCGCGGUAAGUCUGGAGUGAAAGUCCUGCUUUCAAGGUGGGAAUUGCUUUGGAUACUGCCGCGCUUGAGUGCAGGAGAGGUUAUCGGAAUUCCCGGUGUAGCGGUGAAAUGCGUAGAGAUCGGGAGGAACACCAGUGGCGAAGGCGGGUAACUGGACUGCAACUGACGCUGAGGCUCGAAAGUGUGGGGAGCAAACAGGAUUAGAUACCCUGGUAGUCCACACUGUAAACGAUGAAUGCUAGGUGUAAGAGGUAUCGACCCCUUUUGUGCCGGAGUCAACACAAUAAGCAUUCCGCCUGGGGAGUACGGCCGCAAGGUUGAAACUUAAAGGAAUUGACGGGG